rnacentral:lncRNA from 1 species
GACACUAGUAUGGCUCUAUGUAUAAACGUGGCUGUAUAACCAAUGUGAUACUGCAAUCUGUACAUGUGGAAAAAUAAGAUUACGUACCCCAUUUGAAUCAUAUAUGUCAAGAUCAUUGUACUGUUUUGAGGGCUUAUUUUUUUUUUAAUAUUUAUUUUUUAGUUUUCGGCGGGCACAGCAUCUUUGUUUGUAUGUGGUGCUGAGGAUCGAACCCUGGCCACACGCAUGCCAGGCAAGUGCGCUACCGCUUGAGCCACAUCCCCAGCCCCAUUGUACUGCUUUGAGCAACUAAUAAAAAAAUUUUAAAAAAAAUUAAAAAAAGACAAAACAGCAUCUGGGGAUUAGUAUGAAGAUAGUUAUGACCUUGAGGACUCCCUCUCCCCAUCUCAAAGGGCCUCAGAAAAUCUUAUGGGUCUGGAGACCACACUUUGAGACCCUCUGCACUGGACUAUCCUUCUGUGAGGGCCGAGUGCAGGACCUCAACACUACGGUUCACUGCUGUAUCCCAGAGACACAGGCAAGCAGCUGGACAAAGAAGGAGGACCUCAGUAAACGUCUGUUGAAUAAAUGUGUGAACAAAUCCCAUAGAGGGUCCAACUUUGUGUUCUCUGGUUAGAUCACGGUCUUGUGGUAUUAAGCACCACAAGAGCUUUCAUGCUGGAAACAGGAAUCCGUGAAAUACAUUCAGUAUAGCUUCAAUUCCUUUUUGGAAGUAGGUAGAGUACACUGUUUUUCUUUUUAAAUUCUUCCUCGAGAGGAAUCUAGUUCUGAUGCCAUCUUCCUUAUGUAUGGGUAGAAUUAAACUGCUUCUCCACCCUGUGAGUUGGCCUGAAAUUUCUUUCAUGCUUAAUUCCAAGUCAGUUCAUCAAAGUAGCUGUUCUUCUGCUUACGCCUUCCAACAAUGUCAGCUCUCUUUCCACG